CCAAAUCUGGCUUCGGCUCACAGUCCUGCAAAUGCUAACUUAAGUGGCAUAUACAACAAUGGUGACACUCGGCUGGUUAUGAGACCAAGUGUAUCUUCAACUGUCUACACUUCUAGUAGCAGAUGGGAAGCGGAGCGUCCUGCUUCUGGUGUCUCUUACAAUGCUGGUACUUCUUCAGGUAGAUCUAGUUAUCGGCCUGGGUUCACUGAUAUAUCAGGUUCUCCCAUGGGUUGGGGUUUAUCCUACAAGCGCAAGGUCCUUGAAGGCAGUUCUGGGCAGUCUUGUGGUAGAAGUUCGAGCUCCAAUGCACAAUCUGAGAACAUUAGACCGCACAAUUUUCCAAGUCAACAUGGUGCUUCCAGCAGCUUAAACAUAUCACCAGCCUCUGCAAGCGUGCAGAAUAGGAUUGGUACAAGAGUGAUUGCCUCUGACAUAAUUCCUCCUCUUAGUGCUAGUGGAGUUGCGGAAACCUCUGCCAGAAAUUCUGGGAGUGGACAAAAUCUUGAGAAUCAUGAUACAGUUACAUUUGGUUUACUGCCAACUAGGACCAAUUUAGGGCAUUCUAGUGUUGGUUCUACUCUUGUGACUCCUCAACCUAUUUCAGUAUCUAAUUAUUUGGGAUCCAGACAACCAAUUUCACAGUCAAUGAAUGCAGGUAACUCAAGAAGCCAUUCUGGCCUAAUGUACGUUUCUGGUGUUCCAAGUGGUUUGCAUCCAGUUCCCCGGAAUGUGUCUCCUAAUUCACGAGGUGGUAGUUCAUCAAGUCUAAAUGUGGUUUCUCCUGAUAGUGAGGAUGAAGCUAACUUCUGGAGCUCAAUAAGAAGUAAUAGGGUACCUCUUCCAUUUGUUCCUGCUCCUGAGUCUGGAAAUAUGGUACAGGAUUCAACUAAUUGGAGUUUAGCUACUUCAAAUGGAAGCUAUUCCAGAAACAUGCCUUCUAGUUCUGCACUCAGCCGUGGGCCAAGUAUGCAAACUUCUACUACUGCAAGGACACCUUAUCAGAACUUAGCAACCAGUAGUACUCAUAGUUCUUCAGAAAUUUCUCCUAGGACUCUCCUACCUCUUGUUGAGUCCGAGUCUGGAAGUCAGAGAGGUAAUUUUCCCCUGCUAUCAUCAGCUGCUUCUCCUGUGGAGGAGGCAGAGAUAUCAUUGCGAUCUAGUAGCCGGGGAUCUAGUAGCCGACGUAAUCAUCGAAACCACCUAAUAUCAUCUUUAAUGACCAAUUUUCCAAGUAAUGAAGUGGAUGGAUCGCGUGGUUUAGCUUCUGAUAUCGAGGGUCGCCACAGACUGGUACGGGAGGUUUGUGUUUUAUAAUAGUAUCAAAACUGUUGUACUUUGGUUUGUUCAUGAAUGUUUUCAACUGUUCUCAUCUCGUAUCUGGCCUGAGGAAAGUAUAAAUAUUUCUUCUUGUAUUAUUAUUUUGUCUUCCUGAAGAUUUCUUCCUUUCAUCUACCUAUUCGUGUUGCCCUUUUUUCUUACUUGCUCAUCUUGUGAUUAGUAUUUAGUUCAGGAUUAGUGGAUCAUGUACUGUCCCAACAUAGUGCAAGUAUUGGUAUCACACAUGAACAGAAGCACAUGCCUCCUUAUAGUUCUUUUGACAAUUAGCAUGGAGUAUACCUUCUGGAUGAGUUAAGAAUUGCAAUUUGCUUAAGGGGUCGUUUGGUAGGAUGUUCAAGAAUAGUACUGACUAUGUUUUUUUUUUUGAUGACCGUGGUGAAUAUGGUGUAUUACUAAUGCUGAGAAUAGUUUUGUUGGGAUUAUUUCUAGAGCUGUGUUGCCCACAACUUGGAACUUAGAAUGAAUGUUAUGUCUCAAUGAAUAUGAAUCGAAGCACCUAUACUUUUUACCUUUAUAUUUUCAGAAGCUGAUACUUUAUGGUUUCACUCUUUCUAGUAAUUGGGUGUAGCAUGAUCUUCAGUUGUCCUGGAUUUUGGUUGUGCCAAGUUCACUUUUUGAAUAAAUCCAGCUGGUUUUAUGUUGCUUCAUGCCGUUCUUUUGAGAUAGUUUUGAUCUACGGUUAAUUUUCUCAUUACUUACGAAAUGUUGCUGCUUGCAUUCAACAGAUUCGUCAAGUCCUACAUUCCAUGCGGAGGGGCGAGAACAGGCGAUCUGAGGUUUUAUUUUCAUCCUUAUGAUACCCUAAUGAAUGCUCAGCUUGUUUACGCAUGUACUUUGUAUGAAUAUUAUGUAGUUCAUGAUCUGAACACCGUGAUGGAUGAAGUUUCUAUCGAUUUGCUGAGCUGUGAAAUGUUAUAAACAUAAUUACUUUUACUUGUUAUAUUUGCUCCAUAAGCUGAAGGGGUAGAAAUAUGGCCAGAAUUGUAACAUGUCCAGCCAUAGAUAUCUGGAUGGAAAACAAAUUACCUAAGUUGUGUUAUUUUCGACGACGAGUGAUAUUUUUACUAGACUGCCAAUUAGGUUGUUCGGGUGAAAAAUAUUUGUCAGAAUUUGGUUGAUGAUGCUUGUAACCCGUGCUCCACAAGCUUAAGUAAGAGAGAUGUUUGUCCAGAAUUUGGUUGAUGAUGCUUGCUACCUAUCUUUCUUCUCUUUUCUUCUUUUCAAUGAGGUGAAAUAUAAGGUGAAAUAAGCCUUAAGAAGCCUAUUAACACUUACCUGCCUAAACCAUGCAAAGAUUCCAGAAUCAAAUCAUUAGCUGCAAGAUACGAUACGGCUCAGCCAAAGAAGGUGAGCACCUAGCGCGAGCCUUCAACACCGUCUUAGCCUUCCCUGAACAGGAUCGCUCCCACACGUGUAUGCGUUCGUUAACUUGCAUAGGUGGUUUCAAUGAAAAAUAUUUCUCAGCAGUUUUUCAAUGGUGCAAUAUUCUUAUUUUUAGCCUUUCUCUUAGUUUUUACUUAAUAUUAUCCUUACUAAGAUGUUUUUAUUUUUAUUUUCCAUCCUAUCCAGAUUUUUGUAGUUCUUAGUCUGUUAUUGUUUUUUAGAUGAUGAAAUCUAAUUGCAUCUGACUGGAUUAUAAAGCCUUCACAUCUUGAUCCCUUGUUAGCAGGAAGGAAGCUCACUUAAUCUAGACUUAUCUCCUCAUUGGAAUUUUGGGUCCUUAGUAGACACCAGUGGUUCAUUUUUUUAUAUUUUUUUUGGCAGGAUUAUAUGAUGCUUGAUUCAUUUCUCAACGGCGCUGCAGAAAUUCAUGAUACACAUAGAGGCAUGAGGCUCGAUGUUGAUAACAUGUCGUAUGAGGUAAUUAUGGUUGUGCUUUGAUAUCACUAAGUUUCGUAAUAGAUUUCUCAUAUUGUAACCCCUUUACAAAUUCGUUUUUUAGUUUUAUAUCUUGAUUUCAAGAGAUUUUCAUUCUUAUAAAUAAGAGAUCUGGAAAUUACGCACCAGAGAUCUUUGAAGGGUUUUUUUUUUUUUUUUUUUUUUUUUUUUCUGUUCAAAAUUGUUAAGGGUUUCGUUCACCUAUCUCUUCUACUUGUAUUCCUUAGGAAUUAUUGGCAUUGGAAGAACGUAUAGGAAAUGUGAACACCGGAUUAAGUGAAGGAACCAUUUUAGAACGUAUGAAACAGCGAAAGCAUGAUUCAAUAUAUGGAGGGUCAUCGUCCAAUAUGGAGCCUUGCUGUAUCUGUCGAGUGAGACUCUUUCUAAUAAUUAGUUGAUAUUUCUAGAGAAGGAUUGUUGAAUAAAUCUCGUUGGUUUUCUUUUACAUUUAUCAGGAGGAAUACGCAAGUGGAGAUUACAUGGGCAUAUUGGAUUGUGGACAUGAAUUCCAUAGUAGUUGCAUAAAGCAGUGGCUAAUGCUGAAGAAUGUGUGUCCUAUUUGUAAGAUGACAGCCUUAAAAAAAUGAAAUGCAACCAAAUAAAGAUAAUUUCCCCUCCUCCAAUUCCCAACAAAAGAAUUCUUGUUGUUACUAUUUUAUAACUCAUGGGAUGUUUAUUUAUUUUGAUGUUGUGGUAAAUCCAUAGAAAUCUUGUUAUGAUGUUUGUAUUGAGUAAUACUUCACAAGUUUUUUCUUUAACCAAACAAUGUGUUUAGUUUUGGUGGUAUUUGUCCAUUCCUUUAAUCAUUCAUUAUUGUAAAAAAUAGUUUGCAAGAACAACUCAUUAAUCCUGCUUGGUAAAACUAAAGAACAUUCAUUCUAUGUUACAUGUAUUAAUAUACUUGCAUUUGAGAUUUUGGUCAAGGAAAAAUUGCGUCAGAUUUUUUACUGUCUUACAAUAAUGUGGAUUCAAAUCUUAGGCUUUCCAGUUAAUAAGUUUUGAGUUUACUUUUUUUUGUGAGACAAAAAAAUGUCUCAAAUAAUUAAUGUCACUAGUGUAAUGAUCAUCAUUUUCAAAAACUUGAAUUCUUUUCUUGUUGUAAUCGGCUCAAUGACCAUCAUUCAUCAUUUUCAAAUACUUGAACCUUUUUCUUUUGUUUUGCAACUCGUACACAUAUAUUUUUUGUUAUAUAUAGGUGAUUCUUAAGAUAAAUUAUACUUUUAGAUACAUGAUUUAAUACUGAGUAUUCGGGGAAAUUAAUUAUUUUAAAAAUGAAAAAUGGUCGGUAACAUAUUGAAAAUGACUUGAAUAUAUUUUUUUUCACCUACUUGAUCAUAAUUGUGUUUAACGUUAAUUUUUGGAUCGAAAAUAUGCCUCUUCAAAUCAAUUGAAGCUAAAAAGACAUAAAAUCUGUUAAGAGGGAAAAGCCGGAAAGGAAAAUGCAAAGAGAAACAACAAACGCAAGCAUAGAAAGAGGCCAGAAAUUACUCAGAAAACCAACAACAAAUGAGUCAUACUCGACGGUGGCAGUACCUAAUUAUUCCUUAAUAUAAUCCUUUUAUCUGAUAUACAUAAUUUCUUUAAGCCGAGCAUGUAUUUUUUGUGCAAAAUUUAAUUUGAUGUGUCUUUUUUAUUUUUUAUGACAAAAUAUAAAUUUAUACUUCAAGUUUUAUAUUUUUAAAAAAUAAUUAAAAAUCAUGAUUUGAAAUUUCAAAUCAUGUUUUUUUUUUUUGGAGAAUUUGAAAUUUCAAAUCAUAAUUCCAAAUUGCAUGUCCAGAUAUUGAUUUGAAAUCAUAAUUUUAUUCGCAUGUCCAAAUGCAAGCUUAAAUUAAAUUUCAAUUUUAAGUCGAAUUCUAGCAUAUUGUGAUGGAAUUUCAAGAAAAAAUAUAUAGUGGAACUCAAAUAAAAAAUUGUCUCAUAACUCUAGGGUUGGGUAUGAAAUACCGAAUUACCAAAUUGAACCGAACCAAUUUUUUUUGUUAUUUGGUAUUGGAUAAUUGGGUAUUCGGUAUGGUAUCCAUGAGUAAAAUUUUAGAACUAAGGUAUUCGGGUUUGAGUUUGGUAUGAGACAUUAGUACCAUUUGGUAAUCAGUAUUUCCCAAAUACCGAAUUAUUUAGUUAAUGAAGGUCGUAUAUCAACAUGUCCAUUACUCAUUAGUACAAAUCCAAAGAGAAAGUUAAAGAAUAAACAUAAACAACUCAAAUAUAUGUCUUUUAGUUGUAUCAAUUUAUUUUUCUUGAUGUCUUCUUACUUAUUGAUCUUCAAAUAAAUCGUGCAUCAACAUAAAAAAUAGAAAUGAUUGCAAUAAUAGUAUUAACUUUGUAAUACAAUCGGCUAUAACUUCAAUACAAUAUAAAGAAUAUUAUACCAAACCAAAAUUUAAUUUACCGAUUACCUAAUUAUCGAAUCGAAAUUUAAAAUUUUGAUAUAUUUGGUAUCUAUUUUUAACUACCAAUUAUUCAAUUAUUGAACCUGAAAUUUGAUAAUCCCGAACCGAAUACCAAAUGCCCACCCCUACAUAACUCUGAUUCUAGCUGUGGUAGAUUCAAAAUUUUCAUUGAGAAAGUAACUAUUUUAAAGCUAUUUAAAUCGACUUAUAAACUCUAGUCAAUUAGUAACAUAAAUAAAUAUUGUUACGAGUAGGUGUGCAUAUCAAUCGAUUCAGUUCAAUAUUAAAAUUUAUUGGUUCGAUUUAUCAUUAUCGAGUGCUUGACAUAAUAAACCGUUAAGAUAUCAGUUAUUGAUCAUUGUCAGUCCAAUUUUAUGUUUAACUAUUAAGAUUUCACACCAAAGAAAAUCAUUGAAAAUCACUUAUUAGAAAUAAGUUGACAAACCAAAUGAAUCAUACAUAUAAGUUGACAUAUUACAUCUUGCUCAAACACAAUUAUUCACACCUUGUAAAAUAAUCGAAAGUUUGAGACAAUUAAAAAUAAAAGUAUGAAACUAGAACUAGUUUACAUUGACUUUUGGCUAUGACUUAUAAUUCAAAAGCCUUUUUAUUUUAUCUUAACACUAUAAAACUACUUAAAAAUAAUUUUGGCUUAAAAGCACCUAAAAUAAAUCAAUUCAAACAUGCUCUUAAACCUUAAUUCAUGGACUCUAUAUGUCUAAUGAUAUGAAUAUAAUUUAGAAAUAAUUUAUUAAUUUACUAUCAAAUUAUUGAUUAAAUUGUUAAAAUAUUUUUCAAACCAUUAAAAAUUAAUUAUCUAAUAUUAAAAAAAAUCAAUAUCAUUAUUAAAAGUGCUAAAUUAAUAAUUUUUUUAUUUACCCUCCCUAGGAGCUCCCACCCCUUUUGCUCCUUUGGUGACUCGAACUCGUAACCUUCGGGUUGGAAGUGAGGGGUGCUUACCAUCCGAGCAACUCCCUCUCGUCAGCUAAAUUAAUAACUUUUAUUAAUAGAGUAAAAAUAACUUUUUUAUUAGAAUUAUUAAUUUCGAUUUGAUUAUAAAGGGCUGGGCUAACUAAACUAAGCAGAAAAAAUCGAAGGGCCGGGCUAGUCAAACUAAUUAGAAAACAUAAAUAGUACAUUUAUGAGAGAUUAAUUGUUCAUUCACUUCCGACACAGAGCCACACCUACAUACAGAUAGAGAGGAAGAAACUCAAUUUCUCUCCAUUUCCCUUCACCAAGAACGAAACCCUCAUCUCCAAUGGAGAUAUAGUGUUUUUUUAAUACAGAAAAAGCAAAGCCCAUAACCCCAAUACAUAGAAAUCCCAGAAAAUUCUGUCACUUCACCGAUCAUCUGAUUCUCAGGUAUCUUGAUCGACCCAUUAAUUUUCUUGAAUAUAUGUCUCUGUUAACUAAGAAAUUUCAGCUUUUUGUCAUCUAUUUUUCUUGAAGAAUAAUUGUUACUGACGAUAACACCCUUUUACUUGUUUUUUUUUUUUUUUUUUGUAAUGCGGAUCUGCAAUUCAAUUGAGUUCAGAUACUAGUGGUAUCAAUACAAGUUUUUACUUCUUUCUAAUAUUUUUUAUUUUAUUUUUUGCAAUGAAUUUAAUUGGAUAAACAUGUUCAUUGACUUGUUUGGGACCAAGGUGUAUUUGUUCUUGUCAACUUGUUUGAGACUAAGGGGUAUUUGUUCUUGUUGUUGUUUUACUGACUAUUAGGAUAUCUACUAUAUUGUGAAAAGUUUAUGUGUGGAUUACAGUCAGUACUUGUUGAAAUUAAUCUUUUAUCAGCAUAAUAAUGUUUUUUCUAUAUAAGGCCUGAGGUAUCGACUUUUCAGUUGUUAUAGAAUGAAGAAUGUUGAACCUGAAUAUUCCUUGAAUUGUUGUUUAUGUAAAUAAGACCUUAAGGGGUUGUUUGGUAUGGAUAGACAAAGUGAUUUCACCAUAUACUAUAUGGGAUAAAUUGUCCCUACAUUGUGAUACAAAUGGUGAGAUAAAUAAUCCCAAGACUAACAAAUACACAUACCCUAACCAAACACGGGAUAAAAUAAUCUGGGAUUAUUAUUCAUUGUCUCUCAUAAUAAACGCCCCCUAAGUAAUUUUUAUAUAUAAGUGGUUUCACUUUUGCUCGGGGAGGAUCUGUCAGCCAUGCAUCAAGAUGUGAAUCAAGUGCAUUAUUUUCUAGUGAAUUGCUUUAAUUUGUCCAAUGAUUUUGUCCAAAAAGUAGUAAGGAAGUGACAUUGCCUCAUUGCUGUUAUUUAGUUAUUGUUAACUUUAUUCUACUGUUUUUUGGUAUUUAUUGAAAAAGUAUUCUUUUGUGGGGAAAGAAAAGAAAAGUCUGUUAAACAUGCACAAUAAGUUAACCUUUCCUAAUCACCUUUGCCAACGAAGGUCUAAAGCAUGGUUUACUCUUUUUAGUCUAUGACUCUAUUUUAUUCAACGAUUCUAAGUCAUAGCUUGGGGGUAAAGAUUAUUAUUUGGAACUAGGCAUACUCUCCCAUUUGUGUUUGUUCAGUCGUCUAAGUUUAAGUUGGUCUUUCGUACUUGGGAAAAUUUGGCUCUUCUACCAAAUGUACUUGUAUUUGGUGGAAGUCUGGAUCCAUUUUUUUUUUCCACAACGCUGAUAGGAUACACAAGAUUUAUUUUAUCUUUUGUCAUCUCACUCUGGCACUAUUCAUGUGGCAUGGUAAGCAUUAUGAGUAACUCAUGUGUAAAUUGUUUUUGUCUAGGUCCUCAAGAAUUUUUUAGGUAGAAUCAUUGUCACAACUCCACGCUUACCAAUCAAGCUGCAGAACCAAGCAAUUAAAUGGUCGUAAGUAUCAUGUUUGAGAAAAUUCCAACUGUCUGAAGCAACUUUUGACAGGCUAAUAUUUUGGUGGAGUAUCUAAAGGUAAUAUCAUUGGAUAAGUGAGAACUUGUGUUCAAUUGCUAACAAAGUAAAAAUUUGUGUUCAUUUGUGAACAAACUAUAAAUUUGAAGUAACUUAACAAUUUCUCAGGUAAGCUAUGCGACUAAGGAAAAACGUUUUCUCAUGCUGCUGAUUAUCGUAGUUGCCUUGUUACAUUAGUGAUCAGCAGAUUUCAUAUCAUUCCAUGUAGCUUUAUUUCAUCAUUAGUUGAUGAACAUGGGUUCUGCUUAUGAAGUUUCUAGUAGUUGUGUUCAACGCCAUAUUGAAACUUAUUGCUAAUGGCUGUUAAUUAUAACUGGGGGCCAGUAGGAUGGCCCCGUUGGAACUAAAAUUACUGGUUGUUGUGGUUAAUUCAUGUUUCUCUCUGAGGAUUUAACAACCAGAGUAUUGCUGCUGUUUUUGUGAAGGUAAAAGAUAAAUGUAGGGAGAAAUAUGAGACUGGUUCAAAUGCAGAUUGGAAGUAGCACCUGGACUGUAGCUACAGGGAGAAAAAUGAUAAAAAAGAAGAAGAUGGGGAGAGGAAAGGAAGGAGUCUUGGACCCACCUAGAAUUAAUUAUAGGUAAAACUUGUCAAGGAUAAGAUAUAUAAUUCCUUAUGGUUAAACCUCCCAAGGUAAGGCUACAGAAGAACCAAAAAAGCAAUAAAGCUUGCUUUGAAACUAACAAACAAUUCUCAUAGAUAAGCUCUACUUAAUAAGAACAGUAAAAGAAACAAUUUUAGACUGAAAAAAUUGUUCUUACCUACGAAUAGAACUACUUCAACAUAGAAACAAGCUUGCUCUUGCAUCCUAAGACAAUUGGGACUCAACAAUAAUCUAGGAAGCAAUUAACGUACCUAAAAACCUAUUAAAGAAGUUCUCUGUGGAACCACUACAAGAAUACACCAAAUUAUCUGUCUAAAAACUUAAAUAAAUAAGCUGAAACCUAGAUCAACUGAUGAGCUGGAAAUUAAGCAUAAAUUAAACCUCAGAAAUGAUAAAACAUUCUUCAAAUGUUCACCCUAUAAGAGAGUUUCCUUGUGUUACUUGUGCCCUGCAUGAGGUGCCUUGGUUAUUCUGAUGGAAACUGAAAGCCUUCAGCUAAAAUUAACAGUUGCUUUACCAAUUGUGUCUUUUAGCUUUUGCUCGACUUAUGAUUGCUGUGAACUGAUUCUAUACGCAGCUGAAAUUACUAUCUUAGUGCAACAGAAGUUAUAUAACCAAUUUAGGUUUUAUUAUAUUUUCACUUUUCUCCAGUGAUAUUAUGCUUUAACCUUUUCAAGAUAUCAACUAUUGUUAAUUUUGUUCUUUGACAGAAUUUCCUCACUAGUGCACUCAAGGCCUUGAUUUGCCAUAAUUGGCCAAGAUGCAAGGGAACAGAAGCAUACUAGAUUCCUUUCCAGAAACUAUCGAUCUUAAUCAGGGAUCUGUUUCAAGUAAUGCUUCUGGAGAUCCGACAGCCCCUUGGAAUAAAUUUCUAAAUCCAGUGGAGGAUCAAUUAUCGAAUUCCAUGCUUUCUCCUGCUAGAGAAAAUCGUAGACGUGCUAAUGGUAUUAGUUAUACAACACAGAACUGCAGUUUGCGGGAUCAAGGUGAGUCCAGCUCCAGUGCCAAUUUUCAUGGCAUUGGACAUUGUAGUUAUUUGAAAAUAGGACAUGAUUGGCCUUCUUCAUCAAGUAAUCAUGUCCUGACUAAUCCAAAGUCAGCAGAGAUGCGAUUUGGACCAUCCAAUGUCCUCCAUCCUGAGAGUUCAACAAGUGGAUAUGCUGGAAGUCAUCUGAUUGGAAGCCCUCCAAUUUUACCAAAUCUUGCCUCGGCUCACAGGCCUGCAAAUGCUAACUUAAGUGGCAUAUACAAUAAUGGUGACACUCGGCUCGUUAUGAGACCAAGUGUAUCUCCAACUGUCUACACUUCUAGCAGCAGAUGGGAAGCGGAGCGUCCUGCUUCUGGUGUCUUUUACAAUGCUGGUACUUCUUCAGGUAGUUCUAGUUAUUGGGCCAGGUCUCCUGAUAUAUCAGAUUCUUCCAUGGGUACUCGGGGUAUAUCCUGCAAGCGCAAGGUCCUUGAAGGCAGUUCUGGGCAGUCUUGUGGUAGAAGUUCAAGCUCCAAUACACAACCUGUGAACAUUAUACCGCACAAUUUUCCCAGUCAGUAUGAUGCUUCCAGCAACUUAAACAUAUCACCAGCAUCUGCAAGUGUGCAGAAUACUUAUCACUUGGAAAACCUUUAUCCAAGAAAUAGGGUUGGUACAAGAGUGGGUGCUAGUGGAGUUGCAGAAACCUCUGCCAGAAAUUCUGGUAGUGGACGGAAUCUUGGGACAGAUUUAGGGCAUUCUAGUGUUGGCUCUACUCUUGUAACUCCUCGACCUAUUUCAGUAUCUAAUUAUUUGGGCUCCAGACAACCAAUUUCACAGCCAAUGAAUGCAGGUAACUCAGGAAGCCAUUCUGGCGUAAUGCACAUUUCUGGUGUUCCAAGUGGUUUGCAUCCAGUUCCUUGGAAUAUAUCUUCUAAUUCACGAGGUGGUAGUUCAUCAAGUUCAAAUGUGGUUUCUGCUGAUAGAUAUGCUGCAUCACAAGAUGAUGCUAACUUCCGGAGCUCAAUAAGAAAUAAUGGGGAACCUCUUCCAUUUGUUCCUGUUCCUGAGACUGAAAAUAUUGUACAGGAUACCACUAAUUGGAGUUUAGCUACUUCAAAUGGAAGCUAUUCCAGAAAUACGCCUUCUAGUUCUGCACUCAGCCGUGGGCCAAGUAUGCAAACUUUUCCUACUGCAUGGACACCUUAUCAAAACUUAGCAAACAGUAGUACUCGUAAUUCUUCUGAAAUUUCUCCUUGGACUCUCCUCCCACCUGUUGAGUCCGAGUCUGGAAAUCAGAGAGGUCAUUAUCCACUUCUAUCUUCAGCUGCUUCUCCUGUGGAGGCGGCAGAGAUAUCAUUGCGAUCUAGUAGCCGGGGAUCUAGUAGCCGUCAUAAUCAUCGAAACCAACUUAUAUCAUCUUUGAUGGCCGAUUUCCCAAGUAAUGAUGUAGAUGGAUGGCGUGGUUUAGCUUCUGAUAUCGAG
rnacentral:lncRNA from 1 species